rnacentral:rRNA from 1 species
UACGAAGGAUUCGAGCGUUAUCCGGAUUUAUUGGGUUUAAAGGGUGCGUAGGCAGACUGAUAAGUCAGUGGUGAAAGCCUGUUGCUUAACAACAGAACUGCCAUUGAUACUGCCAGUCUUGAGUACAGUUGAGGUAGGCGGAAUGUGUCAUGUAGUGGUGAAAUACUUAGAUAUGACACAGAACACCGAUUGCGAAGGCAGCUUGCUAAACUGUAACUGACGCUGAGGCACGAAAGCAUGGGGAGCAAACAGG